GAGGUGUGGGUGGCUACGGGGAGCUCAAGGGUCACCCCCUGGAGAAUUCCACCCACACGGCGCUGGGGGCCAAGUGCCGCCGUGUGAUCACUGGUGGGCCUGGCAACUCGGCCAUCUGGGCUUGGCUCAGCUCCAGGGCCAGGAGAAGCGAUUUCACAGAUAGGGGUGGGAUCACCCCAGUGCCCUGGGAAACUUCCUCCCACACAAUUCAGUUUGUUUGGGGGCAUGGAGGCAACAGAAUCUAGGAACCGGGCUCUGUGCAUUCGAACAUGCUGGCAGCAUCCUUGGGCCCAAUGCCAGCCCCGCAGCGGAGAUGAAGCAGAGAGAACAAGCAGGGAGAAGCAGACUCGCUGCUGA
rnacentral:lncRNA from 1 species